rnacentral:rRNA from 1 species
AUGGGUGAAAGAGCUUGCGUCACGCGCUCCGCAGGCAGGGCAUCGCUCAUUGACAGCCCAUCUCCACCUACGCGUCCCCGGCCCCUCCUCCACGUGUUUCGUCCACCCGUCAGUUUCUUCUCCUUUGCUUCUCCCCGGAGGAAUCCCUCCCAUAGUCCCAGCCCUGUUUCCCUCCCUGAGCUUCAGCGCGACCCUGAUCCUGUUCUGUUCGCCAUGGAUCACCCGCCACAUCUCGACAUCGACCUCAACGAGCCGCCGCCGCCAUCGCCGCCGCAUGAGUUCGCUGCCCCCAUUUUUAUGCCUCCGCCGCCGCUGCCGCCGCCGCCGCAACCCCAGCUCCCGCCUCCCGCCAACGUGCCUGCCCAGCUGCUGCUCCCGCACCAGGCCCGCGAGCUAGCGCUGGCGUAUCACCGUGCGGAAUCCUGGAUGUCAGGUGCUGCUACGGCCAGUGCGGCCGGGACCGGUGGUUCAUCGCAGGAGGUGCCGCCGCCGCCGGUUCUCCAGCCGCCCACUUUUGCUCGUCCACCGCUGCCACCGCCGCCGGUUCUCCGGUCGCCCACUUUUGCUCGUCCGCCGCUGCCGCCGCCGCCGGUUCUCCGGUCGCCCACUUUUGCUCCUCGGCCGCUGCCGCCGGCGCCGGUUCUCCAGUCGCCCACUUUUGCUCCUCCGCCGCCGCCGCGGCCACCCCAGCUUCCGCCUCCUGCCAACGUGCAGGCUCAGCUGCUGCUCGCGCACCAAGCCCGCGAUAUAGCGCUGGCCUGCCAGCGUGGGGAAUGGUGGAGGUCGGCCAUUGGGGCCGCGACGGCAGGUUCGUCGGCGCAGGUGCCGCCUCCAGUGCCAGCGCAGCACCCGGGAGUAGCGGGGUGGGGCGGGAACCCGUGCGCGUCCUGCGGCCUCCCCGAGCUGCCCGGAUCGACCAUAAUCUGCGACGCCUGUGAACGUGGGUUCCACAAAUCAUGCGUCCACGUCCUGCCUCCUCCGCCGCUGUCCACCCCUGGCGUGCCGGUGCGGCGUCCUCGGGUGGCCGUGAACAAGGACUGGAUGUGCCCGGAAUGUGCGGCAGGAGCCGUCACCGUCCAAGACAUCACCAGGCAGUUAUGUCAGCUCCCUCUUGAUCACCUCCUUAUGAUAUGCACUUGCUGUCAACAGUCUUUGGAUUUUUCUGCUUUGCUUCACUGUUAG